CAGUUAACUGAUUAUUAAUAUAUAUGUGUAUUUGUUUAAUGGAUGGUGGGAAGGAGUUGUCACUCAUAUAGAAUUGGGGAGAGAAACACAAGGAUAAUAAUCAUGAAUGGAUCAAUGAGGCUGCCAAGAACAAAUAUGAGAAGAUGGAGGCUGAGAGGAAUGCCCUUUUAGAGAAGUUGUACCAAGAGGCACCCGAGGGUACUGCACAUGAUUCUAUCAAACUGACUUUGGAAGCUGAGUACCCAAUAAUGGCUAAGGAGCUUGGGAGGAAGGGUAGGAUGAUCCAUGGCAUUGGUAACGUCCCUCACAUACGUUCUAACAUACGCAGAGUAUCUGCAUGGGGUGGCAACAAUUCUGAGGUAGCUGAAUUGCAUGAUCUUAUCGACCAACUUACCUUUAACAUGCUCAGUAUAAAGGAACAAAAUGGACUAUUAAAGGCUCAAGUGAAAUGUUUAUUGAGGCAAUCUCCUGGGCAGAUGAAUGAGGAUGACUUCCCCCAUCCUAGCACCAACUUCUAAGACUUUGCUUGAGUAGUUUGGGUGAGCAUUUGCUAGACUUUUGGUCUGAUGUCCCUUUUUGUGCAGUUAUAGCUUUUUACCUUGA